rnacentral:sRNA from 1 species
UUGUAGCCGCGAUUGGAGCGGUAUCCUUUUACGAUCGCGAUAGCGAUUGCAAAAGAUAUAGUGGAAAGCGGGACCGCUU